rnacentral:tRNA from 1 species
GGACGUAUAGCUCAACGGUUAGAGCAUCUGCUUUACACGCAGAGGGUUGGGGGUUCGAAUCCCUCUACGUCCACCA